rnacentral:rRNA from 1 species
UACGUAGGGUGCGAGCGUUGUCCGGAAUUACUGGGCGUAAAGAGCUCGUAGGUGGUUUGUCGCGUUGUCCGUGAAAACUCACAGCUCAACUGUGGGCGUGCGGGCGAUACGGGCAGACUGGAGUACUGCAGGGGAGACUGGAAUUCCUGGUGAUAGCGGGUGAAAUGCGCAGAUAUCAGGAGGAACACCGAUGGCGAAGGCAGGUCUCUGGGCAUUAACUGACGCUGGAGGAGCGAAAGCAUGGGGAGCGAACAGG